GAAUGCUGACAUAAGUAACGAUAAAGCGGGUGAAAAGCCCGCUCGCCGGAAGACCAAGGGUUCCUGUCCAACGUUAAUCGGGGCAGGGUGAGUCGACCCCUAAGGCGAGGCCGAAAGGCGUAGUCGAUGGGAAACGGGUUAAUAUUCCCGUACUUGGUGUUACUGCGAAGGGGGGACGGAGAAGGCUAUGUUGGCCGGGCGACGGUUGUCCCGGUUUAAGCGUGUAGGUGUGUGUUCCAGGUAAAUCCGGUUCACUUUAACACUGAGGCGUGACGACGAGGCACUACGGUGCUGAAGCAACAAAUGCCCUGCUUCCAGGAAAAGCCUCUAAGCAUCAGGUAACAUCAAAUCGUACCCCAAACCGACACAGGUGGUCAGGUAGAGAAUACCAAGGCGCUUGAGAGAACUCGGGUGAAGGAACUAGGCAAAAUGGUGCCGUAACUUCGGGAGAAGGCACGCUGACACGUAGGUGAAGUGAUUUACUCAUGGAGCUGAAGUCAGUCGAAGAUACCAGCUGGCUGCAACUGUUUAUUAAAAACACAGCACUGUGCAAACACGAAAGUGGACGUAUACGGUGUGACGCCUGCCCGGUGCCGGAAGGUUAAUUGAUGGGGUCAGCGCAAGCGAAGCUCCUGAUCGAAGCCCCGGUAAACGGCGGCCGUAACUAUAACGGUCCUAAGGUAGCGAAAUUCCUUGUCGGGUAAGUUCCGACCUGCACGAAUGGCGUAAUGAUGGCCAGGCUGUCUCCACCCGAGACUCAGUGAAAUUGAACUCGCUGUGAAGAUGCAGUGUACCCGCGGCAAGACGGAAAGACCCCGUGAACCUUUACUAUAGCUUGACACUGAACAUUGAGCCUUGAUGUGUAGGAUAGGUGGGAGGCUUUGAAGUGUGGACGCCAGUCUGCAUGGAGCCGACCUUGAAAUACCACCCUUUAAUGUUUGAUGUUCUAACGUGGACCCGUAAUCCGGGUUGCGGACAGUGUCUGGUGGGUAGUUUGACUGGGGCGGUCUCCUCCUAAAGAGUAACGGAGGAGCACGAAGGUUGGCUAAUCCUGGUCGGACAUCAGGAGGUUAGUGCAAUGGCAUAAGCCAGCUUGACUGCGAGCGUGACGGCGCGAGCAGGUGCGAAAGCAGGUCAUAGUGAUCCGGUGGUUCUGAAUGGAAGGGCCAUCGCUCAACGGAUAAAAGGUACUCCGGGGAUAACAGGCUGAUACCGCCCAAGAGUUCAUAUCGACGGCGGUGUUUGGCACCUCGAUGUCGGCUCAUCACAUCCUGGGGCUGAAGUAGGUCCCAAGGGUAUGGCUGUUCGCCAUUUAAAGUGGUACGCGAGCUGGGUUUAGAACGUCGUGAGACAGUUCGGUCCCUAUCUGCCGUGGGCGCUGGAGAACUGAGGGGGGCUGCUCCUAGUACGAGAGGACCGGAGUGGACGCAUCACUGGUGUUCGGGUUGUCAUGCCAAUGGCAC
rnacentral:rRNA from 1 species